CAAGCUCAUGUCCAUAGAUUUUACCCUAAAAAGAAGGUGGUGAUAUGGUUAAAAGUUGUUGAAGGACCAAACGUUGUAUUGCAGAUAACAAAAUUGUCAGUGGCGGAUGCCUCUAUACCCAGUGUGCGCCACAUGCUUCAAGCAAAUGAGGAAGAAGCUACAAAGCUAGCUCUGAAUCUGCCCCAGAUUAUGAUAUGUAACUGUUAUUCACGGUUCUGUCAUUUUCGCCCUAACCGCCUCUUCUGGGUUGCCACCGCACUAUCACGCGUGUCUUCCUUCUGUUGCCACGCAGAAAGAGAUAGAGACGACUAAGAAAGGCAGAAAGAGAUAGAGACGGAUGAGAAAGUGAAAGAGAACCCAUUGAGA